rnacentral:tRNA from 1 species
GGGAUCUUGGUGUAAUGGCAACACACUUCUCUGUGGCAGAAGGGUCAGGGGUUCGAAUCCCCUAGAUCCCCCCA